AAUGAACACAUCACACUUCUGUGCAAGUCUGUGGUCUGUCACAAAGUCCUGCAACUUUCUGGACAACAUUUGUGAACAUGCUUAUCUGCAGCUAGUACCAACCAUCCAAAUGAUUAAGAGCUUUACAAUAGGGUGUCCCUGAACCAUUUUGAUCACAUCAGUUUUAUGAAGAUCAAGCUGAAUGAAUUUGCCUCCCAUCUCUUGAACCACCACCGAGAGACUGUAACGAUCUUUGUCCCAGCAAUCCCUGAUCCAAGGAGAUGACAAGGAAGGAUGCCACUUUCCUUUAUAUGGCUGGGGAAAUUGUCUACUGGUGAUGGACAUCCAUCUUCUAAGAUGUAUCUGGAGUUUAUUUAGACAUAGUUAUAUCGUGUAAAACAGAAACGCCUGAGUUUGUCAAGACUUUGUGUGUUUCAGAAGCAGAGAUGAGGCUUACCUUUUUGAGCAAGGCACUGCACAGAGCUACGGUUUUCUGGGUCAAUAUUGAACAUCAGUGGCAAGAUGCUGCAUUUAAUUUAGACCUGCCUUUUGUCAAUUCAUAGUCUGAAAAAACAUUGAGCUCAGGAUUGAAUAUACAAUCAUGAAAUUUCAGACAGCCUCUCAGUCUCCUGGAGGACUUCUAAUUUAAUUUUAAUCUUCUGCGGUCAUUUUUACUCCAAAUUCUUUGGUUAAAAAGGGAAGUAGGAAAAAUUAGUACUUUGAAUACUUUUCUUAGGAUUCAUCAAUGACUCUGUACUCUAGGAAAGUUUUUUUUUACAAUGUGCUUCCUCCUCCUCCCAACAUUAUAAACUGGGAAAAAAAAAAAAAAAAAAAAAAAAAAAGAUCUGGCAAGGUAGCUUAUUGCCAUUGGUAUGUGAUUGCUGAAGUAACAGCCAAUAUUUGUUGCAAGUGUUUCUGUUGUAGUUGUAAGAAGCCUUGAGGGUUAGUUUUCUUAAAUGGGGUUAAACUACAACAUGACUAAGAAAAACUGUUACUUCUUAAACAGUCUUAGAUGUAAAAAAUGUUGCUUCAUAAAAGAUCUAAAUGUAUGCCAGAGAAAUUAUGAGACAAAAGGAAUGACAUUACAUCAAAGAGCUUCCAGCAGCUGCUGAACAAUGAGCACCCUGAAGCUGUGUUCUUCAGUGUACCCUCACCCUGCACAUCUCACAGAGUUAGGAGGAGGAUUGACAAGGAAAAGGAGAUUGAAUGAGACUUCCCUUCAGCUAAGAAUAACACAGAGGAUUUAAUGCAGCAUUAUUGGAUUCUAAAUAUUUAAAUGCUAGAAGACUUUUUUCCACUAUGCUGAAUGAAUGGAAGAAAGAAGGAACUUCCAUACACUUUAAAGAGCUCACAAAGAAAAAAAAAAAAAAAAAAAAAAAAAAAAAAAAAAAGCAGUAUCCUCUCCUCACCUGCCCUCUGUACCAUUAUGCUUACUGAGUUGAACAGAAGACAUUUCUGCUUCAAAGAGGGAGUGUGUCAACUUUGGGUCAGCAGUAGAGCUCAUUCAGAAUGAUAAAGACAAAGGUUCAACCACUGCCAGUGAGGAGUCUGUGUUUCACAGGUUGGUGCAUCUUCCUACAAGGGCCAUACAUCUUCCCAGACUUUGCCUAUACCUUCUCUUUUCAGUGGUUAGAAUACAGCAUGUGCAGAUAAAAAGCCUCAUAUUUUAACAAAAACAUUUCACUUUAGCAAUCCCAUUCUUGUUUGUGUUUGUCAGUUUACUCCUUUUAUACAAAUUCUCCGUGAGUUUGUGAAGAGAUUCAGAUUAUCUGGAAAAGUAAUAUUAAACAGUUGAAAUACAGAGCAGUAGAGUAAUAAAAUCAUGUGUUCAUCAGGAUGGCAACGGUGGAGUGGGAAAUAAUCUAAAUGUUCUGUAUGUGUCUCCUUUCCUCUCUUAAUGAUAAAAUUCAGGGACAAAAACCUUGUCUUUAUUAUAUAGGAAUGAGAACAUGUAAACAGGAUAAAAGGGGGAAAGGAAAGUGGAGAACUAUGAAGAACUUUGUUGGCAUUACAGUUUUCUGCUCCAGUCAUGUUUGUUAUUAAUAAAGUAUAGUUUUAAGGGAGCAUUUUAGAAAUAAACACAUCUGUUGCAUUAACAAUGGGUACCAGCUCUGACUUCCAGAUACCUCCACAAGACACUUUCUUAAAAUUAAGGGAAAAUAUAUUAUGUCUACUCUUUCCUAUACAAAGGUGAAGUUUACAAUGAGCAAAUUAAUGCCACCUGUUUAUAGCAUAUUGUACUUUGUAUUGCUUGCAGUUGGUUUAUACGCACAACAGAAUAUUAAAUAUUGAUGUAACUGUGGACUUAACAGCUGUGUUUAUUAGUGGUUAUAUCUUUUAAUAUACUUCACUUAGCUAUAGACUAUUAGGUUACGUUCUAUGGCCUGUAAGGCGUGAAACAUGAAAUGGUUACCAUUUGAAUCUUCAUGAAGUAUUAAUAUAAUACAAUAGACUAGCAUAAUAGUCUAAAUGUGGUUACUACAAGAUUGCCUCCAGCUGUGAAGGAACCAGGUCUGAUAUUUCUACAGUCCAUUCCAUUGCUAGGUUUCUCUGUUCAAUGUUUCAGUCCAUUAAUACAGGUAAAACAUUUACAGAAGUGUAAAGUCAGCAGAACAGAGUAAUUCAUUUGUUAAUGCAUGUCUCUGAAGGAAAACAUUACAUUUCUUGUUCAAACUAAUAUAAACUAAAAACAAAUUAAUUUGUAAGGUAUUUAAAUACUUUGUGGGACCGUAAUUUGUUAAUUUGGUUGGUAUUAAUCUUUUUGCUUCCAUUGUGGACAUUGACAGAGAGGUGUAAAAAGUUCCUCUGAUGGAAAUCAACAAUCAACAAUUUAUUGUGAAGACCAAAAUAAAUUACAUACUUUACCAGAGUCAAAAUAUCUACAUCAAGGAGACAACUUCUUCCUUCCCCAUAACAGCUACAGCUACACCCCUACUACUGAUACACUGCACACACAUUGAGAGUAUUUUCUUAAUUCAGAGAGAUAUUCUCAUGAUUAGAAAGCACAAUAGCAGAAUUGGCUACCCUGUCUUACUCUCACUGAAUUGUUACAAUAAUUGUUACAAACAAUUGUCCAAUUGUUACAAUAGCAGCAAUAGUGGAUAUAUAUUUGAGAAUCAUUCUACAAGUAUGGCUUUGACACUAUCAUCUUUUGAUCUCUACCUUUUCUUUUGUUGAACUGCUGUGUAUGUUUAUGAUUAAUAUUAAGAUAUUGAUACUCCUUAGUCUGGCAAAGUGGCUUAUUUCAGAACAGUUUAACUAUAUUGAUGAAGAUAAAAGUUAACAAGCCUUUGGUAAUUCGUUGCUCAGCUUAUGCACUGACUAAUGAAUCUUUCUUAUACCGUGUGGUUAACUUUGAGGUUCUUUGUGCUCAUAGCUUCACAGACUCUCUUAUGAUGAACAAGUCUUCUGAGCCUAAUGACUUAAAAAAGAGGCAAGUUCUUUCUAAACAGCAAAGAGUAUAUUCCUGCUCAAAACAACAAUGAAAUAAUGAAUUUAAUGUUUUUCUUUACUAAUAAACUUGCAUGUAUUCAAAGAGCUGCAUGUUUAAUAAAUAGGAAUAGACAUCUUUCUAGACUUCCCAGGAAC